CACGUAGGGGGCAAGCGUUGUCCGGAUUUAUUGGGCGUAAAGAGCUCGUAGGCGGUUCGGUAAGUUGGGUGUGAAACCUCCAGGCUCAACCUGGAGACGCCACCCGAUACUGCUGUGACUAGAGUCCGGUAGGGGAGCGUGGAAUUCCUGGUGUAGCGGUGAAAUGCGCAGAUAUCAGGAGGAACACCUGCGGCGAAGGCGGGUUGCUGGGCUGACACGUGACGCUGAGGAGCGAAAGCAUGGGGAGCGAACAGG
rnacentral:rRNA from 1 species